CGUAACGCGUAUGCAACCUACCUUGUACUGGGGAAUAGCCCGUGGAAACAUGGAUUAAUACCCCAUAAUUUUAUCUAAUCACCUGGUUGGAUAAUAAAGUUUCGACGGUACAAGACGGGCAUGCGUAUGAUUAGCUAGAUGGUGAGGUAAUGGCUCACCAUGGCAACGAUCAUUAGCGGGUCUGAGAGGAUGAUCCGCCACACUGGUACUGAGACACGGACCAG
rnacentral:rRNA from 1 species